UUUACCUUCUCUUUAAUCUUAAUCAGGGACUACUUAUGGUUGUUACCUUACCCUUGGAGUGAAAUAAUCUAAACAGUUAAACCAUUUUCCUUUUAUUAACACAGUAUUAGGAAUUAGGUUUCCCCCAGUAGCCAUUAACAUUCCCAGUAUCCCACCUUCCAGAAUAAUGGAGUGGAUGAUAUAAUGCAAUCAACUGUGUUAAUAAAUUGAUAUUUUUCUCCAAGGAAAUGGUUCUCAUCGUUUGAAAUGUAAAGCUUCUCAAGAAAGCCUUAGAGUCACAGCAAGAAGACUCCAUGGUGCUGGAGGUAACAUCCAGAUGCACGAGAUUGAGCCAGAUGCACCAGAUGCUGUGAGGACUUCAAGCCAGAGAGUGUGGACUCAUCUAUCAAGGAAGAAAAUUUAUAAGUGGCCAUCCAGGAAUCAUUUGCUGUUUCAAAUAGAGAACUGUGCGAUGAUGAGAAAGAGUUCAUACAUUUUCCAGUAUGUGAGGGGACCUCUCAACCUGAACCCUCAUGUUCAGCUGUCAGAAUAACAGCCAGUAAAAACUACAGGAGCAAAACCUCUCAGGAAGGUGCUUUUAAAAAGAUGC